rnacentral:piRNA from 1 species
UGACUACGAUGAUACCAUUCCAAUCUUGGAC